UCCAAGAGUCCUUACUGUAGGGAAAUGUCC
rnacentral:piRNA from 1 species